CUACCUCUGACAUGCUGUUGCCCAAAAAAAUGAUAAAUGGCUUUCAAAUCAUUGGGUGUUACCAGUGUCUCCAAUUAGAGGGGUUGCAAGCAAAUCAGGUCUCCUGUGGAAAUGCCUGGUGACAUCUAGGAGCUGUAAGGUUUCUUGUUUGAGUGAAGGAUCAGCUUUGAAGAUAACUGUGCGAACAGUGACAUCGUUGAAUUGAGCCGUUUGGUAAAGUAAGUUUGAAUGAAGGAGAACAUAGAAUGACAUCUUUAACAAGACAAAAUUUAAAUAGAAUUUUUAAACGAUGAAUCAGCACGAACUGGAGAACAUGACACAGUUGACACAAACUGUUACAGAGCAAUGGAGAAGGCAAUGAGCGCAGCAGCACUGCAUGAGAAAAGUGAAACGAGAAGUAUUUGUCUGUUUUCUAUGUAAUGGGAUCACCCAAAAGUCCGUGUGUACUUAGCAGUGGAUAUGCAAGAUUUACUUCAACGGUCUAAAAUUAGUCACAUGCUUUAAAAUAAGAUCUUGGAGAAAUUCAGCCCUCCAUACUAUUAAAAAGUAGCCUAAAACACUGGAGUCCAUUACGCAUUAUUUAUUCAUAUAUUAUUUCACAAGCCUUUUUCUUUUUUUGCGAGGCAUUUGCAAACAUUUGCCUAAGUAGAAGACUAAACAGACAUAUUAGAACCCAGCUGAAGGUCAGACACAUUCUUAAGACAGAUUUUCUUCAGUUUAACUUCUGCAUUUCUCUCAAAUUAUUAAAAGAUAUUUCUCUUUUCCUGGAAACAGUUAUGAGGUUGGUACCUGUGGUAUUUACCUCCUCUGAGGGUGCUGUGAUGAUUAGCUAACUCACCCUUGCACAAAGAGGCAGCAGAAAACCCAUGCAUUAGUUGGAAAAAAAUCAGUAAAUCAUUCUAUAACUGAUGAUAAUGACUCAACAGUGAUUCAGUACCACAGAGUUAUUAGGAAUUGAGGAACAAAAAUCUACUCAAGCCCUCAUGGAAGUAGACUGUCA